rnacentral:tRNA from 1 species
CACGCGGUGGCAGAGUUAGAAAUGUACCUGAUUGCAAACCAGGACUAUGUCGGUGCAACACUGACCCGCGUGUCCA